rnacentral:lncRNA from 1 species
UGGCGCAAAUUAUUUUUUUCACAUUUCUAAAAGAUAAGUUUGCGAAAUAAAAUAAAUAACAAUAAUACAACAUUUUGGCUUAUGAAAGUCAAUUAUAACAAUACAAAUAUCUAAUAAGGAAUACAAUAACCCCAACGAAACUGAAUAAUUAAAUUGAAGUUUAUACUCUACUCACACAAGCAAAGUGCCAUCGUUCACUUCUCAUGAAAUGUAGACUACAAUCUGCAUAUAUAAUAAUACAUAAAAGAAGAUGACAUACAAAAAAGAUGUGAGUAUAUCUUAUACCAUUUUAAAGGCAUAAGGUAAUAUUAGAUGUACACAUUCACAAACAAACGAUCAAAACAUACACACACCAAGCGUUACUCAAAAUGCACUAAUCAAACAAACUUUCAUUUUUUAUUUAUUGGCAAAAUGCAUUUUUGCCCUGCAAGUUUUUCAAACUUGCGAUUUUGACCUCCCAAGUUUAAAAAUAACACUUUUAACCCCCCAAGUUUCACCCCCUUUGCGAGACCAUAGCCCCCCUUAAUUUUGACUCGGUGAAGCUGAUGUGGAUAUUUUUUAUAUUAAAUGUUGCCACUUGUGCGUACACAUGGAAAUUAAUGAAAAUAAAAAAUUUUAAAAGUUGAAAAUUGAAAUUAAAACUUAAAAAUAAAAUAAAAAAAUUGAAAAGAUCUUCUCCAUUCAUCUUCAACCCAACUUGUUCUUCAUUCUACCUUAAUCUCCAUCCUCAAUAAUUAAAUUUAGUCAAACAAACCAAACUAAUUUAAAACAGGAAUAACCUCAAAUCCAAACAACAAUUUUGUUCUAAACUAAUGGAACCUUUUUUCUUUUUAUUUUUUAUUUUUUAUUUUUUUAUCAAACACUAAUUCCGUUCCAAUCUUCAAGCCUAAAAAAAAGGUUUAGAAUAAUUCUGAUCCAUCAAAACACAACUCAAAUAAAUUCAACUCAAGCCUAAACCAACAAAGCUUUUUGCAAAUACAUGAGCUUUUCUCAAGCAAGCUUUUCACAAAUACAUAACCUUUCAUCCAGAUACAAAAGCUUUUCGAUUUCUUAUUCGGCAAAGUGAUUCAAUUUUGAUUUGUUGAGGAUGAAGAUUAGGGUUGAAGAUGAAGAAGAAGAAAAUUAGGAAUGAAGAUUGGGGUUGAAGAUGAAUGGAGAAGAAUUUUCAAUUUUUUUAUUUUUAAUUUAUUUCCACGUGUAUGCACAAGUGGCAACAUUUAAUAUAAAAAAAUAUCGACGUCAGCUUUAACUGAGUCAAAAUUAAGGGGUGUCACGAUUUUGCAAAAGGGGUGAAACUUGAAGGGCCAAAAAUGCUAUUUUUAAAUUUGAGGGGCCAAAAUUACAAAUUUAGAAAACUUGAGGGAUCAAAAGUGCAUUUUAACCUUAUUUAUUUAUUUAAAGGGAAUCCUAUCUCCUAUGACUUACCACAAGAUAUCCAUUCUAGGACAAUUAUAAUUUUUUCAUCAAACUUCUUAGGGUCAGGAUCUUGCCAUCAAGGACACCCUAAGUUGACCUCUUUGUCACCAAUUCAACAUGCUUACCCCCCUUUAUAAAUAAUUUAAAUGACCACGAUGCAUCAAAUCGCAAGUGAUCACCACCCCCACCUCUCUAAGAUGUAUCCUAACAAUCACAUUAUCCACCGAUUACCAUUGUAACCGUUUUUUAAUCUUUGUCAUUAGUCAUCAACCAUGUAUCAUUGUUGUCUUAUUUGUCCAAGGUCAUUCAUGUACCAUUUUAACCUUAUUCAUCUUGGAAGACAAUUUUGAAGAAGUAUUAUCAUCUCAUUCUUAGACUUAAGCCACACAAUAUCAAGUAUAAUUAUGUCACAUAGCUUGAUAAAAUAUUCACACAUCCACAAAAUAAUAUUCUAAAGUCACAAUAUAAAUCAACCACUCCUUUGAGGUUUAAAGAUGACUUCUAAGCUUCACACGUGAUAUAUCAAAUAACUAUGUCAUACUUAUUAACCUCUUUAUAUCAAUUAUAAGAAGAAAAAAAGGUAACAAAUUACUUAAUAUUAAUAAUACACUUGUAUAGUUAUUAGAGAAAUGAAAAAGUAUGUGAAAUAUUCAUCAAAGUAUUAAAAAAUACAUAAAACUGGUAACAUUAAGAUGAGCAAAUAAAACUAUAUAUUAUUCAUAAUAUAGAACUAUUUUUCAACUUACCUAUGAUUUAAUACAUUGACACUUUAGCAACCUACAUUCUGGAACUUCAUUAGGAGAUGUACAUAGAUCUUGUCCACAAUUAGAAUCUUUAAUACAAAAAGCGAAUGCUGUGAUAGAAAAUAAGAAUAAAAAAAUGUUACUAAAUAUGGAUGAAAGUUCGCAAAGGUAAAAAAACUAAAAGGAUGAUAAAAGGCUUACGAUCAGUGUCAGCUACAACAAGAAAUAUGUAAAGAAAUAUGAUCAUGAUAUAAACAAGCUUGAGAACUUCAGUCAUA